AUUGAACGCUGGCGGAAUGCUUUACACAUGCAAGUCGAACGGCAGCACGGGUGCUUGCACCUGGUGGCGAGUGGCGAACGGGUGAGUAACAUAUCGGAACGUGCCCAGUAAUGGGGGAUAACUAACCGAAAGGUUAGCUAAUUCCGCAUACGCCCUGAGGGGGAAAGCGGGGGAUCGAAAGACCUCGCGUUAUUGGAGCGGCCGAUAUCUGAUUAGCUAGUUGGUAGGGUAAAGGCCUACCAAGGCGACGAUCAGUAGCUGGUCUGAGAGGAUGAUCAGCCACACUGGGACUGGGACACGGCCCAGAAUCCUACGGGAGGCAGCAGUGGGGAAUUUUGGACAAUGGGCGAAAGCCUGAUCCAGCCAUUCCGCGUGAGUGAAGAAGGCCUUCGGGUUGUAAAGCUCUUUCGGCAGGAACGAAACGCUCUAGAUUAAUACUCUGGGGUAAUGACGGUACCUGAAGAAGAAGCACCGGCUAACUACGUGCCAGCCGCCGCCGUAA
rnacentral:rRNA from 1 species